rnacentral:snRNA from 1 species
GUGCUCGCUUCCGCAGCACAUAGACUCAAAUUGGAACGAGAAGAUUAGCAUGGCCCCUGUGCAACGAUGACAGGCAAACUUGUGAAGUGUUCUAUAUUUUU